rnacentral:misc_RNA from 1 species
GAAAUGCGAUAAGUAGUGUGAAUUGCAGAAUUCAGUGAAUCAUCGAAUCUUUGAACGCACAUUGCGCCCUUUGGUAUUCCUUAGGGCAUGCCUGUUCGAGCGUCAUCUAAACCUUCAAGCCCUGCUUGGUGUUGGGUGCCUGUCCCGCCUCCGCGCGCGGACUCACCUCAAAUCCAUUGGCGGCCCCCGCGUCGGCCACGAGCGCAGCAGAAACGCGAACUCGUGAGCCCGUCCGGGCGGCCCCCAGAAGCUACACCCACCCAGUUUGACCUCGGAUCAGGUAGGGAUACCCGCUGAACUUAAGC